GNGAAAAACCGCUAAGCUUCACCUGUAUGGAACCCGUACCGCAAACGGACACACGUAGUCAUGUAGAAUAUACUGAGGCGUUGAGAGAUUCGCGGCUAAGGAAUUAGGCAAACUGACCCCGUAACUUCGGGAUAAGGGGUCCUCCAGUCCGGGGGAGGCGCAGAGAAUAGGCCCAGGCAACUGUUUAACAAAAAUACAGGGCUGUGCAAACUCGAAAGAUGAUGUAUACAGCCUGACACCUG
rnacentral:ncRNA from 1 species